UAUUGCACAAGUUAUAGUCCACCACCAUUAGGGGUAGCUUAUGGGUUUACACAGCUACCUCUGAACUCACUAGUACAUCUGUAGACAUUAAACUCCCCCUAGUGGUGGCUGGAGACAGCAAGAAUGUUAGCAUUAACUCCAAGGCAUUCGGAGACAUGUACUCAAAAAAACGAAAACCCCACAACAAUGCAAUAUGAUAAUAUACAGGACAGGAUUUUGGAACUUACUUGGUGCUGAAAUGUGGACAUUCAUUUUAAUCGUAAAACCGUUCUUAUUUUGUAGAUCAAGUAAUAAAUAAAGUCGCGCACAGUCUGUCACUAACACUGGUGACCAUGUCAGCAAAUGCAACAGCCAGCAUCUGUGUCAUCUAUUUUCAAAACAUAUUUGGCGUUUCCACUGUACUUAAUAAUCAUCGCUACCUGGAAACCGUCAAAAAGCUGCUGCAGACAGAUUCUUAUUUGGCUCUACUUCGUACCAUGAUGUCCUGCCGCGGUCUGAUUGGAUCCUUAACACUUUAAUGGCUCCACAAAGGUUAUUGGGAUGAAAACCAUGAUUAGUAUUAAAACCGAGCUAUAGUAAGAUCUGUCAACAGCAGAUUGUCUGCUUGUUGAUGGUUUCCAGAUUGAAAUUAUUUUUUUUUUUUACAUUACAGAGUCAAAACAACAGAAAAAUAGAAAAAAAACCUUU